rnacentral:misc_RNA from 1 species
GUUCCAGCUGAGGAGAGAUAGAGGGAAUAGAAAAGGAAGAGGAAAGAAAAGUAUAAGAAAUAAUCAAAUGAAAAAACAAGUGGGUGGGCCUUCUUUUUUCUUUUAUAAACAGCAAUGCGACUGAGAGAGGUUGUUGGCACUGCCCUAAAACUGAAAAACAAAAAGGCAGAUGGGUUAAUACGUGUCUGAGGUGCACCUGGGUGCGCACAUUGGCUGCCUUUUGCAGCUGGAGGCACCAAGGACUGCACCUGGUGUGCCUUGCGCCUUAGGCGCACCUUUGAUAACUAUGAUGCAUACCGCACAGCUACAGGAAAACAGAAAUAUCUAUUAAAUUGCAUUACGACCAAAUGCCUCAGAUAUCACAAAAGCAAAUACAAAUGUUAUGUUUAUAAAUGGAAAACUGUAAAAUUUCAUGGUUGAUCCACCAAGUAUUCUGCCCACCCCCCAAAUUACUAUUAUUAUCAUCAACUAAUCAAUCAAAAAUGGGCAACUAGCUGGCGAAAUUCAUGAAAUUUAAUU